CCUCCCAAAGAACGUGAACACAUCGUAGCUGUCAUCAUUCGUGCAAUGGUUCGACUUUUCGUUUUGUUGUAAAUUAUAUUUGUGUUGGUGCACUUUGACAACAACUGUUAAUCGUUUCAAUAUUUUUGUUUUUGUUUUCUAGUCAGUGUAGUUAAGUUCUUAAUUUAAUAAUUUUAUUGGUAGAGUGACGAAUAUUGUGAAUUGUAUUUUAUGAGAAUGUGAUCUUUAUUAUGAAAUAAUUAAAAGUGAUGGUAACUAGAAAAAAUUAAAAUUUUUAAUUGAAUGCCAAAAGUUGGACCUGGACACUACUCAAGUGCAUCACUCGAAAAUGGUUUGGACAGUACACGUCGUUUACAUGGUCGCUUUUCUCACCGUCAAAAACGCAUCACGCAAUAUAACUCGACGAAGAAAUAUUAAGGAGAACGUUUUUAUGUUCUAAAAAUCAUCCAAUAUUUAAGUAAGGUAUUUGACCGAGAGUUAUAGGAG